AAUGAACGCUGGCGGCAUGCCUAACACAUGCAAGUCGAACGAGACCUUCGGGUCUUGUGGUGCAUGGGUGUGUAACGCGUGGGAACCUGCCCUUAGGUUCGGAAUAACUCCCCGAAAGGGGUGCUAAUACCGGCUAAUGUCUUCGGACCAAAGAUUUAUCGCCUUUGGAUGGGCUUGCGUUGGAUUAGCUUGUUGGUAGGGUAAAAGCCUACCAAGGCGACGAUCCAUAGCUGGGCAGAGAGGAUGAUCAGCGACACUGGGGCUGGGACACGGCCCGGACUCCUGCAGGAGGCGGCAGUGGGGAAUAUUGGACUAUGGGCGGAGGCCUGAACCAGCAAUGCCGCGUGAGUGAUGAAGGCCUGAAGGUUGUAAAGCACUUUUACCCGGGAUUAUAAUGACGGUACCAGGAGAAUAAGCACCGGCUAACUCCGUG
rnacentral:rRNA from 1 species